GCGAGUAUGCUGAAAUUGGUAGCCAGGCUGUAUUUAGGAUACAGUGUCCCACGACAUAAGAGUUCAACUCUCUUUACUCGUA
rnacentral:tRNA from 1 species